rnacentral:rRNA from 1 species
CGAACGGGUGAGUAACACGUGGGUAACCUGCCCAUCAGAGGGGGAUAACAUUCGGAAACGGAUGCUAAAACCGCAUAGGUCUUCGAACCGCAUGGUUUGAAGAGGAAAAGAGGCGCAAGCUUCUGCUGAUGGAUGGACCCGCGGUGCAUUAGCUAGUUGGUGAGGUAACGGCUCACCAAGGCCGUGAUGCAUAGCCGACCUGAGAGGGUGAUCGGCCACAUUGGGACUGAGACACGGCCCAAACUCCUACGGGAGGCAGCAGUAGGGAAUCUUCCGCAAUGGACGCAAGUCUGACGGAGCAACGCCGCGUGAGUGAAGAAGGUUUUCGGAUCGUAAAACUCUGUUGUUAGAGAAGAACAAGUGCUAGAGUAACUGUUAGCGCCUUGACGGUAUCUAACCAGAAAGCCACGGCUAACUACGUGCCAGCAGCCGCGGUAAUACGUAGGUGGCAAGCGUUGUCCGGAUUUAUUGGGCGUAAAGCGAGCGCAGGCGGUUCCUUAAGUCUGAUGUGAAAGCCCCCGGCUCAACCGGGGAGGGUCAUUGGAAACUGGGGAACUUGAGUGCAGAAGAGGAGAGUGGAAUUCCAUGUGUAGCGGUGAAAUGCGUAGAUAUAUGGAGGAACACCAGUGGCGAAGGCGACUCUCUGGUCUGUAACUGACGCUGAG